rnacentral:lncRNA from 1 species
GUGGGUGGAAUGACACGCUCCUUGGUAGUGCCUCCUCCACCACCAGGGAGGCAAAGAAAAGCCAAAAAAGUCCAAAGCAUUAACAACUUAGAAGCUAUUUUUCAUGUUGCCAGCUUAGAUGCUAUUUUUCAUGCUGCUAUCAUUACCUCAAGUUUGAUGCUACAGUGAAAGGCAAAUCUGGUUCUGGUAACGGAGGCCCUAUGCACAAGGUGGAAUACAAUUACUGCCCUACUAGAAAGCAGGAAGAAUGGACGUAACGGCCAGGAUGACUCCUAGGAAAAAAACAAACCCAAACCAAACAGUAAAAACCUUUUUGAUACAUGAUUCAAGAGGUUUGACUGAAAACAAGCCAUUUCUGCAGAUACUAUAUGUUACUGGAAGGUAGAAGUAAAAUCCAUAUAUUUUUCACUGGGAAACUAUUUAAAGAUUAUUCUUGAUGUCCCAUUUUUUAUUACCUUUUUUUCCUUAAGGAAAUAGAACAGUAUUCAACUUACUGGCAGAAUAAGCAACUGUAGUAUUGUUUUAUAAAAUCCAACUGCAGUAAUUCUGCAUAGCUGGACAUUCAUAUACCUGACCAGCUUGAUUCAUCUUUUCAACAGAGCAUUUUUACAAUAUGGAAACAAAAACAAUAAUGCAAUGAAAAGAAGAGACAGCAUUAGAGUCACUGCAAAGCCAUUUCAGCACAUCCUACAAUAUUUUACCUUUGUUCUCCGGUCUGGAUUUAAUAUUAUGUAUAGAAGCAGCACUAUGCAAAACCAGGGUAAGUAAUCAAUCUUGAACUUUUCUGUGUCUCGAGAAAAUGUCCUGUAUUCAUCCUUCUUCUAUAGCUACCUAUCCAUCAAGUGGCUUACUCUAAAAGU